rnacentral:rRNA from 1 species
GAUGAACGCUGGCGGCGUGCCUAAUACAUGCAAGUCGAGCGAACAGACGAGGAGCUUGCUCCUCUGACGUUAGCGGCGGACGGGUGAGUAACACGUGGAUAACCUACCUAUAAGACUUGGAUAACUUCGGGAAACCGGAGCUAAUACCGGAUAAUAUAUUGAACCGCAUGGUUCAAUAGUGAAAGACGGUUUUGCUGUCACUUAUAGAUGGAUCCGCGCCGCAUUAGCUAGUUGGUAAGGUAACGGCUUACCAAGGCGACGAUGCGUAGCCGACCUGAGAGGGUGAUCGGCCACACUGGAACUGAGACACGGCCCAGACUCCUACGGGAGGCAGCAGUAGGGAAUCUUCCGCAAUGGGCGAAAGCCUGACGGAGCAACGCCGCGUGAGUGAUGAAGGUCUUCGGAUCGUAAAACUCUGUUAUUAGGGAAGAACAAAUGUGUAAGUAACUAUGCACGUCUUGACGGUACCUAAUCAGAAAGCCACGGCUAACUACGUG